rnacentral:lncRNA from 1 species
ACUGUGCGACUCUACCGUAAUCUUGAAGACACGAAACACAACUUCGGAGUUUGAAACCUUAAACAGAAAUACGAAGACCGAGCAAUGCUACCCUGACAAAAGAGCGGAACCGACCAAAACGAAACCUCCGGAGUGAAUGGCACUAAACAACAGACUUGUAUUGUACUGGAAGCCGAGGGAAGUUAGAAAGAGGGAGAACGAAAUAGAAAUAGAGAAAAUAAGAGGCGAAGCGUGUCUCACGCACCAAGGUAUACCUAUACGUACAUACAACGAUACCGAUCUUGCAUCCCAUAACAUACGUCACACACAUGCGCGGGAUAAUGCGAUGGACAUACACGCAUGAUAAUAACAUAAUAUGAAAGUAACUUUUUACGACGAAUACCAGUGUUCCAAAGAACAUCAUUCUUUACGAGGCACAGAUUCGAUGGCAUACCGGCGAUCCCUGUGUCAUAUGAGAAUCCGAGACGGUGCAGCGGUGAUGAGGCUUCGCGUUCACGGAUGAAGGUUGUUCGGAUCAAUUAGGUCCUAUAUUAGGUUUCAGCGAAAUUCGUCAAAAAUAUCGCGGGUGAUGACGUCAUUUUAACGUAUUCAUAUCACUUUCAACUAACGCUGACGGUAACCAUUGUAUGUACAUAUUGAUUCAUCAGGUUUUACAGUAAGAUCCAUUGAUUAAUCAACGUCACAAUUUUGCCAAUUCCGGAAAAAAAUCUCGCAAACAAUUGUCGUGGGAAAUUUUUUUUUUUUAAAUGAUAAAGUUUAAGGUAUAUGAGUGAAAACCUUAAACCGUGUGAGUUGAGAAUUUUAUUAGAAAAUAUAACAUUGGCGCACCAUGGAUGCAGACGACAAUCGACGCUUAUUAAAGGGGACAGAAUAAACUCGUUUAUAUUUACAUAGAUGUUUCCAUGUCUCCAUCAUCUUCGGUGUACAUACAUUGCGUAUGGAAAGUUCAUGAACCAACAUUAGGAUGGAAAGUUUUAUGAGAUGUACGAAGGCGAGGUGGGCAUAGUGCCAACGGGAGAGAGCAUCGUGGUACAAAUUUUUUUUCUUCCUUCUGAGGAUAUUAAUGGCGUAGGCGUUUAAGGUUCAAGGUUCUUCUCUGGACUCUCAUGUAAAGAGAUCUAGAAGUUUUAUCGCCAUUGGACAUCCGUUUGCACCACGCAGUUGUGAAUUUCGCCUUGACUUUGUACUUUUGAAAAUGCAAACACACAAUUUUUAGUACGGAAUUGAUUGCCAGCGUUAAAUCGGAAUUGAACGAAAGUA